UGGGGGGAUCUGGGGGGUCUGGGGGGGAUCCAGAGGGGUCCCAGGGGGGUCCUGGAUCAUCCUGGGGGGAUCUGGGGGGGUCCCUGGGGGUCCUGGGGUGACUCAGGGGGGUCCCAGGGGGGUCCUGGAUCAUCCUGGGGGUCCCGGGGGGGUCUGGGGGGGAUCCAGGGGGGUCCCAAGGGGGUCCCGGAUUAUCCAGGGGGGUCCCAGGGUGAUCCUGGGGGUCCCAGGAUGAUCCAGGAAGGUUCUGGGGGGUCCUGGGGGGCUCCCGGAAGGUCUCGGGGGGAUCCAGGGGGGUCCUGGGACGAUCCAGAGGGUUCUGGGGGGGGGUCCCAGGAUGAUCCAGGGGCUCCCGGGGUGAUCUGGGGGGGUUCCUGGAGGUCCCAGGAGGAUCCAGGGGGGUCCUGGGGGGUCCCAGGAUGAUCCUGGAGGUCCCUGGAGGUCCCUGGGGGUCCCAGGGGUGUCCUGGGGUGGAUCCUGGGGGUCCCAGGAUGAUCCAGGGGGGUCCUGGGAUGAUCCAGAGGCUCCUGGGGUGAUCCCUGGGGGUCCCGGGAUGAUCCUGGGGGGAUCCGGGGGGAUCCUGGAGGUCCCAGGAGGAUCCAGGGGGGUCCAGGGGGGCUCCCGGGAGGUCCCAGGACAAUCCUGGGGUGAUCCCUGGGGGUCCUGGGAUGAUCCAGGGGGGAUCCUGGGGGAUCUUGGAGGUCCCUGGAGGUCCCAGGAUGAUCCUGGAGGUCCCUGGGGUGUCCCAGGGGGGUCCUGGGAUGAUCCAGGGGUGUCCUGGGAGGAUCCUGGGGGUCCCAGGGUGGUCCUGGGGUGUCCCGGGAUGAUCCAGGGGUGUCCUGGGAGGAUCCUGGGGGUCCCAGGAGGGUCCUGGGGUGGAUCCUGGGGGUCCCUGGGGGUCCCAGGGGGGUCCUGGGAUGAUCCAGGGGUGUCCCAGGAUGAUCCAGGGGUGUCCUGGGAGGAUCCUGGGGGUCCCAGGGGUGUCCC